rnacentral:misc_RNA from 1 species
UAUGCACUUCAAAGCAGAGUCUAAACUUUAUAUCCUGAAAUUUGAGAUCAAAGUAGACAAUGUAGAAGAUGGAACGACUGAGGAUAGGAGAGUAGGGGGGAAUAUACAGAGUUGUUUCAAGUCUUAUUUACAGAGAUGCUCAUGAUUACUUCAGAGAGACCCGAAUGUGUUCUCCCCACUGUACGUCAUGUAGAGAAAACCAUCCUCAUCUUUGUGCUCUUCAUAGAUUGCAGACAUCAUGGCCGCUGUAGGAGGUAGGGAGUUCUUGACAAAGAUAAAGAUGGCCUUCUCAGCACUAAGCUUAAUCCUCUUCCGAACAACAUACACAAACUGCCCCACAGUCAAGUCAGCAGGAACCAGAUACUUCUUCUUGUCAAUGUCUGGUAUGUCGCUUCUCUCGGACUUCUCAACAAUUACAGGAAUUCGAUCGGGAUACUUCUCCCUGAUACGUGAAGCUUCAGCCUGUCUCCUUUCGAGAGGAUGCUCCAGCUUGAAUGAACUCUUCGCCAUGGAUUCCGGCUGCGGGCGAGGGAUCGAAGGGGAAUCGAGAAGUCGCGAUGGCGG